CCCCUGUGCAAUCCAUAUGCAGGUGUCCUGAAGCAUUUUAUCUAACCUUUAAGAGAAAAUCGCGUGUUACUAUAAUAAUUGUCGCCGAAGGUGUCCCCAGUGCAGUUAUGGGGAGGGCUAUUCACACUUGUUCUAUGCAAGAUUGGCUGUUGUGGAGCGAUCAGGUUUGUUUUGUUUGGGGUUUGGAUGCUGCGUUUGGUUCAUUACCUCAGUUUUCUUUUCGAACCAGUGACACAACUUCAAGUCUGAAAUUCUGGAAAGAGGUGCAUGAGACGUCCAAAUGAGACCCGGUUAUGGAAUUGGAAACCUUCAUUUCCGUAGGCGUUCAGGUACAUAUAUGAAGCCAGCAAGGAUCUGAAGCCCAGCAGGAGAAAAACAACGUGUAAAGACAUAAUGGAUAAUUACAAGGUCUUUUGUGGCUUGAUCAUCUUUCUUCAGAUCGCCGACCUAUCACAGGGAUACGCCUACAAUUUCAGCCUCUGUAACCACGACGAGAUACAAGAGGAUCUCCUAAACGUUUUGGAUCCACACAUGACCUUUAUAAAAGAGGUUGGUGGUUUCUCUGGUGGCAUCGGAGGGAAACUCUGGACGGCACUGCCUCCACGAUUUUACCCUUGACCGCCGGCAGCUACUUUCUGAAAAUCUCGAUUAGCAAGCCGGGAGUUGGCUAGUUUAGUAAACCGGUGCCUGUGAAAGAGGACGGGAAAGUUAUCUCCUACUCUCCUCCGGCGACCUUCCUAAAAUGUGCUUCGCUGAAGCUGGGACUGGCAGGGACGGAGAGCAAGAGCCCGGGCGGCUGCUGCCAGAGCGCUAUCCAACUCUUCCCGGCGCCUUGCAGACCCGUAGGACUGAAAGUCGCUUGUGUAGUGAUUCACCGACGCUUGAAGAUGUUGUCACAGUUGCAAAGGAGCUACAACUCGAUUUUCAUACCUGCGAGGAUGCGCCUUCCCUGCCCGUGGGCCGGCAGCAGUCCGAGGUUCGCCCGGGUACACGCAUGCCCCGGCGGCUACGGGAAAAGAGAGAGAAGAGGAGAGAAGAAAGGGUUUGAGGGAGGGAGGAAGAUAGAGGAAAAGGGUGGGAAAAAAAGGAAAGGGCGAAAGAGGAAAAAAGGGGGAGAAGAGAAAUAAAGUGGAGAAAGAGAGAAAAAUAGGAGAAAGC
rnacentral:lncRNA from 14 species